UACGGGGGAUGCAAGCGUUAUCCGGAUUUAUUGGGUUUAAAGGGUGCGUAGGCGGCAUUAUAAGUUAGUGGUAAAAUAUUGGGGCUUCACCUCACUACGCCAUUAAUACUGUAGAGCUAGAGAACAGACGAGGUAGGCGGAAUUCGUGGUGUAGCGGUGAAAUGCGUAGAUAUCACGAAGAACUCCGAUUGCGAAGGCAGCCUGCUGGACUGUAACUGACGCUGAUGCUCGAAAGUGUGGGUAUCAAACAGG
rnacentral:rRNA from 1 species